UACGUAGGGGGCUAGCGUUAUCCGGAAUUACUGGGCGUAAAGGGUGCGUAGGUGGUUUCUUAAGUCAGAGGUGAAAGGCUACGGCUCAACCGUAGUAAGCCUUUGAAACUGGGGAACUUGAGUGCGGGAGAGGAGAGUGGAAUUCCUAGUGUAGCGGUGAAAUGCGUAGAUAUUAGGAGGAACACCAGUUGCGAAGGCGGCUCUCUGGACUGUAACUGACACUGAGGCACGAAAGCGUGGGGAGCAAACAGG
rnacentral:rRNA from 1 species